UUCACUUGUUGGUGGGGUAAUGGCCUACCAAGGCGACGACGGGUAGCCGGCCUGAGAGGGCGACCGGCCACACUGGGACUGAGACACGGCCCAGACUCCUACGGGAGGCAGCAGUGGGGAAUAUUGCACAAUGGGCGAAAGCCUGAUGCAGCGACGCCGCGUGAGGGAUGACGGCCUUCGGGUUGUAAACCUCUUUCAGCAGGGAAGAAGCGAAAGUGACGGUACCUGCAGAAGAAGCGCCGGCUAACUACGUGCCAGCAGCCGCGGUAAUACGUAGGGCGCAAGCGUUGUCCGGAAUUAUUGGGCGUAAAGAGCUCGUAGGCGGCUUGUCACGUCGGGUGUGAAAGCCCGGGGCUUAACCCCGGGUCUGCAUCCGAUACGGGCAGGCUAGAGUGUGGUAGGGGAGAUCGGAAUUCCUGGUGUAGCGGUGAAAUGCGCAGAUAUCAGGAGGAACACCGGUGGCGAAGGCGGAUCUCUGGGCCAUUACUGACGCUGAGGAGCGAAAGCGUGGGGAGCGAACAGGAUUAGAUACCCUGGUAGUCCACGCCGUAAACGUUGGGAACUAGGUGUUGGCGACAUCCACGUCGUCGUGCCGCAGCAGAGGCAGCAG
rnacentral:rRNA from 2 species